AUUGAACGCUGGCGGCAGGCCUAACACAUGCAAGUCGAACGAGUGGCGUACGGGUGAGUAAUGUCUGGGAACCUGCCCGGUGGAGGGGGAUGACUACUGGAAACGGAAGCUAAUACCGCAUACCAUGGGAGGUGCCCGUAUGGGAGUAGCGAGUGGGUGGGGUAACGGCUCACCAAGGCGACGAUCCCUAGCUGGUCUGAGAGGAUGACCAGCCACACUGGGACUGAGACACGGUCCAGACUCCUACGGGAGGCAGCAGUGGGGAAUAUUGGACAAUGGGGGCAAGCCUGAUGCAGCCAUCCCGCGUGUAUGAAGAAGGCCUUCGGGUUGUAAAGUACUUUCAGCGAGGAGGCGUUACCUGCAGAAGAAGCACCGGCUAACUCCGUGCCAGCAGCCGCGGUAAUUC
rnacentral:rRNA from 1 species